AACGUAGGUGGCAAGCGUUGUCCGGAAUUACUGGGUGUAAAGGGAGCGCAGGCGGAAUGACAAGUUGGACGUGAAAUCCAUGGGCUCAACCCAUGGCGUGCGUUCAAAACUGUUGUUCUUGAGUGAUGUAGAGGUAGGCGGAAUUCCCGGUGUAGCGGUGGAAUGCGUAGAUAUCGGGAGGAACACCAGUGGCGAAGGCGGCCUACUGGGCAUCAACUGACGCUGAGGCUCGAAAGUAUGGGGAGCAAACAGG
rnacentral:rRNA from 1 species